CUGUAAAAUAGUACCUUCUUUUUCAUAUUAUAUUCCAUUUUGUGAUACCCAACAACAUCAAAUACAAUGGAUAACAGUUUAAAUGUUUAUUACCAACAAGCAAAUUGCGCAAAUUUGUUGGAAAAUGAACCCUGCAACACGGCCUUUAAUCUGGAGGUCACUGAA